rnacentral:rRNA from 1 species
GUCUACGGCCAUACCACCCUGAACGCGCCCGAUCUCGUCUGAUCUUGGAAGCUAAGUAGGGUCGGGCCUGGUUAGUACUUGGAUGGGAGAUA